UCAGACGUUGAGAAGAAUCCAAAUUUAACAAUUUGUGUAACACUGUCAUAUUUCUCAUCAACAUCAAUUGAGCAUUGGAAUUACUUAGGAUGAGCUAAUAUCCUUUCAUUUUGAGCAAGUUGACCAACUCAACAUACGCUUGGUUAAGAUAAUUCUUUUUCAGAUUAAUUUAACAUAGAUUACGUUAUGUCCAGCAUAUCGGUGUGGUGCCAUUUGCGUUAUGAAACAACUUUAAUACAAACUACACAGGAUCAGUAUCAUGAAUGUAAAAUGCCAUGCAAUCGUGAAAAAGUUUCAGCAUAAAUAACUUCUACUAAAGAUUAAGAGGACUCAGUCUCCCCUUGGACUUCAAGACAUCGUUGCAGAAAAUUAUAAAGCGAUUCAGAAUAUAAAGCUUUUCAUCAUGAAUUUACCCAAGCUUCUCGCCAUAUUCGCUCUCGUCGCCAUGAUGUCGGUCGUCGUGAUGGGAGAAGGAGAAGACUACGAAACCGGGGGGACUGAGUACCAAGUGUGUCAAUUUACAAUUUUAAAAUUUGCUCUUACCGGCACGCUUUGCCUACCUGAAUGCGCAUCCAAUAUUGUGGUCCCAGGAGGGAACUGCGUCACAGGACUCAAGUGUUGCUUCUUGACAUAAAGUGGAAAUGUCGCACCCUCCUCACCACCAAUACACAAAAUAAAUACAAUUGGAAGUAAAUAAAAUGAUUGUGAAAACUGCUAUGUAGAAUCUUAACUUGAAUUAAAUAUUGCUGAGUGGUACAUAUGUAUGUACAUAUGAAGAAUGUAACGAGAGAAAUAAAAAAUGCAAUUACAUUUGGUAAAAUUUUA